rnacentral:rRNA from 1 species
UACGUAGGGUGCAAGCGUUGUCCGGAAUUAUUGGGCGUAAAGCGUCCGCAGGUGGCACUUCAAGUCUGUCGUCAAAGCCUGGGGCUUAACCUCGGAAAGGCGGUGGAAACUGAAGCGCUAGAGUGCGGUAGGGGUAGAGGGAAUUCCCGGUGUAGCGGUGAAAUGCGUAGAGAUCGGGAAGAACAUCGGUGGCGAAAGCGCUCUACUGGACCGCAACUGACACUCAGGGACGAAAGCUAGGGGAGCGAAUGGG